GCCGAAGUGGUGGAACUUGGUAGACACGCUAUCUUGAGGGGGUAGUGGGGAACACCCGUCCGGGUUCAAGUCCCGGCUUCGGCACCA
rnacentral:tRNA from 1 species